UAGAGCUGCAGGCUGCCCCAUGGAGGAGCCUCCCAGGAUUUGGGCACCACGAGGCCAAGACCUGUGCUGUCAAGAGUGCAGCUUGGAGGAGAGUGUCUGCUGCUGAUGCAAAAGCAGUCAGGCACGGCUGACCUGCUGGGGCACGGCUCAUGUUCGGAGGCUUGAUCUCAGCAGUGGUUUUAAUGAAGAGAGAGAAUGCGGGAAGCAAACAGCAGAGGCAUCUUGAGAGCUUUGGCCUUAUUCCAUCUCCUUUAUUGUCUCUGGUCACAGAAGUGGGUGUAUUUGGACGAAAGCAGACCUAUGGAGUGAGGGCAGUGUUUCUCAGCAAAUCCACUUGCAAGAAAGCUCAAAAGCAAUUACAGAAGGGAACGUACAGUACUCCAGGAAUUUAAAAAACAGGUUAGGAACCCUGAUUUCCAUGCUGGCUUAAGUCAAGUGCGUUACCUGUUGAACCAACGCGCCUCUUUGUACCGUGGCCACGUCUUGCCUGUGACCUGCAGCGGGUGUUCAACCACUUUUUCAGUAUCUGCUGUGCAGUACCAGCCUGGCCUAAUCUUCCUUCUCUCGUUGUCCUGAGGCCCCAAAGGCGGCUCAUGGACCUCUGCUGCACGAGGUCUUCGGCAUCAACACGCUGAAAUUUGUAACGAACAGCCAUAACUUCUAGACGUCCUGGAUGUUUUUCUCACACCA
rnacentral:lncRNA from 1 species